GCCAGGCAUGGUGGUGUGCGCCUGUAAUCCUAGCUACUCAGGAGGCUGGGGCAGGAGAAUCGCUUGAACCCGGGAGGCAGAGGUUGCAGUGAGCCGAGAUUGUGCCACUGCACUCUGGCCUGGGCAACAAAGCGAGACCCUGUCUCAA
ensembl:misc_RNA Metazoa_SRP Metazoan signal recognition particle RNA